AGCCAAGAUUAAAAACAACAAAACAAAACAAAACCCUCCUCUGUAUGAAGCAGCCUUAUAUAUAACUCUGUCUUCUCCUUUAGAAUUGGAGGUGGGGUGAGGUUGUUUUCCUCUCUAUGCAAAUGAAGCCCUCCCAGAGACCAACUUACAGGUGACAGGAUGAGAGCCCCAAAGGAAAGGAUUCACCAUGUAGACUCUGCCUGUGCUGUGAAAACUCCACCUAGAUGUAUAAGGAAAGAACAGUUCCCUCUUGGAAUCCUGACUGGACCAACUGUUGUUUACUGGCCAAUGUGGAGCAGCUUACUCUCCCUUGCCAAAGACAGGGUAUUACUGUGUGUAGCCCUGGCUAUCCUGGAA